AUACGUAGGGGGCAAGCGUUAUCCGGAAUCACUGGGCGUAAAGGGUGCGUAGGUGGCUUAUCAAGCCAGGGGUGAAAGGCAUUGGCUCAACCAAUGCAAGCCUUUGGAACUGAUAGGCUUGAGUGCAGGAGAGGUAAGUGGAAUUCCUAGUGUAGAGGUGAAAUUCGUAGAUAUUAGGAGGAACACCAGUGGUGAAGGCAACUUACUGGACUGUAACUGACACUGAGGCACGAAAGCGUGGGUAGC
rnacentral:rRNA from 1 species